CCUACGGGAGACAGCAGUAGGGAAUAUUGCUCAAUGGGGGAAACCCUGAAGCAGCAACGCCGCGUGGAGGAUGAAGGUUUUCGGAUUGUAAACUCCUUUUGUUAGAGAAGAUAAUGACGGUAUCUAACGAAUAAGCACCGGCUAACUCAGUGCCAGCAGCCGCGGUAAUACGGAGGGUGCAAGCGUUACUCGGAAUCACUGGGCGUAAAGAGCGCGUAGGCGGGAUAACAAGUCAGAUGUUAGAUCCUAUGGCUUAACCAUAGAACUGCAUUUGAAACUGUUAUUCUAGAGUAUGGGAGAGGUAGGUGGAAUGCUUGGUGUAGGGGUAAAAUGCGUAGAGAUCAAGAGGAAUACUGAUUGCGAAGGCGACCUACUAGAACAUAACUGACGCUGAUGCGCGAAAGCGUGGGGAGCAAACAGGAUUAGAUACCCUUGUAGUC
rnacentral:rRNA from 1 species